AAUAAUAAAAUAAAAUAAAACAAUGAAUAAUACUAAAUGGUUGGGGUAGGGGGAAGAGCUGUAACAUAAACAACAAAGGUUAAGGUUAGGAAGGGGGUGAAAGAGGUUAUGUUUAGGUGAGAUAAUGAAGGGGGUUAUGUUAAGGAAAAGGAUAUAGGGGAGGGUUAUGUUUAGGAAAGGGGAUGGAGAGGUUAUGGUCAGGGAAAGAGAUGGAGGAGACAACCCCAACACCAACCUCACUCCUAAUCCACUAUCUCCUUUUCUAGGCGACAGGGACAAGUGUGUAUGUCUCGCCUGAGAGGUCGCGGCCCGGAAGAGACGGUGUCGGGACAAAGGUCAAAGACCCCACAGAGCUGUGAAAAAGGUUAGGGUAGGGUCAGGGAAGAGAUGGAGGGGUUAUGGUAAGGAUAAUCCCAACACCCACCUCACUCUUAAUCCACCAAUAUCUCUGGUUCUAGGUGACAGGGACAAGUGUGUAUAUCUCGCCUGAGCAGGUAGUCGGGAUGCAGAUAAGAACACAUACGAGGACUUCACACAUGAGAGACUGGGGGGGGCGGCGGGGACCACCAUCAUUCAGGCCCAUCGGAGCGGUAGAUCCGAGUCUAAAAAUCCACCUCCUCUCAGCUGACCUUCUCUGGACCAGAGUCCAACCUAGAUUGGUCUCCAGGCCAGAGAGGGAAAAGCUAGAAAUGUCAUGCAUGGCAAAAUGGGCGUACAAUAAUUUCGUAACCGUCCCCCUCUGAAUAUGAUAGAUGUGCUGAUAGAGUCUCUGCUUUAAAGUGGCACCUGUUUCACCCACAUAGAUGGCUCUGCAUUUGCUGCAUUGGAUGGCAUAGACAACGUUGGUAGAAAGCAGUGAGAAGGUCUGCCAGAUGGGGGCGCCAGUUUGUAAAUUGUAGAUAUACUUUAGAGAAGUUGGCCCGGUCAGAUGGGAAGAGAGCGGCUACUUCAUGCUUGAUGGUACGGAGAAAGCGUCUGGAGUAACCGCCGGGGUCUAAGGGCCUCAAAAAGGGUCCUUGUGGCCUCCUCUACAUGGUGGGGGAGAGAACAAAUACGAUGGAAGCGGAUAAGUUGAGACUUAAUAAUAGAACUAAAAGUGUGUCGGGGAUGGUAGCUGCUGCUAAAUAAUAAAGAGUGUCUGUCAGUGUCUUUGAAGUAUACUUUAGUGCCUAAUGUUUUAUAACCGUCUAUAAUUUCAGAGAAGAAGACUAUGGUGUCCAAGAAGGGGACCUGCUGGAGAUGAAGAGUGUGUUUGAGGGUAACACGGGGAUGGUGUGAAUUAAGGAUGUGAAUAAAGUGAUUGAACUCUGUUUCCGACUUGUCCCAUAGACCAAAAAUGUCAUCUAGAUAGCGAUAGUAUAGGAGCGGGCGUGACGGGCAUUUGAGGAGCGCUGAUUCUUCCCAGUCAGCCAAAUAGAUAUCUGCAUAGGCCGGUGAAUAUUUUCUGCCCAUAGCGCAACCGCAUGUCUGAAGAAAAAAAGAUUUAUCAAACAGGAAGUCAUUUCGGGUAAGGGUAAGUUGUAGAAACUGUAAAAUAAAAUAAUCAGGGCGAGAUGAGUCGGG
ensembl:lncRNA